AGUAACCUCCAAGGACCCCAGCUUGCACUAAGAGCACUGAGGAAAUGUGUCCACAGCCUGUUCUUGCUGAGCUGACCCAAACGCUUAGAAGAACACGAUAUGAAUCAGUAACCCCACUUCCUGUGAAAAGUGCAACCACAAGUGGCCAUCUGCACUGGCAUACAGGCAGGCAAUUGUCCAAGGAAAGAAUUUGGAGCUUCCAAUCUGAUUCCAACCUUUUCCAUGUGAUCUCUUGUACCCAUUCUAUUUUUGUACCACACAUAAUAAAGUUUGAGAGUGUCAAGUAAUCCAUCUGUAUCUGAUUUUUGUCUGGAAAGACUUGCAGGAUUUUCAGAUUGAAAUAUCAAUCCAUCUCCUGUCUUGUCUUUCACCUGUUUAGUAUUGAUCAUUUCUGGAGCAGUGUGUCUUAAAGACAAAAGUUCACUGCACUAUCA
rnacentral:lncRNA from 1 species